GAUGAACGCUGGCGGCGUGCUUAACACAUGCAAGUCGAACGAAAAGGCCCUGCGUUUGUGCGUUGCUCGAUUGGCGAACGGGUGAGUAAAACGCGAGUAACCUGCCCUUGACUUUGGGGUAACAUCAGGGAACUGGGGCUAAUACCGGAUAUGAGCUCCUGCUGCAUGGGGGUGGAUGGAAAGAUUCGGCGGUUGUGGCUGGACUCGAGGCUUACCAGCUUGUUUGUGGGGUAGUGGCGUACCAGGGGUUCGAAGGGUAGCCGGCAUGAGAGGGUGACCGGCCACCUUGGGACUGAGAUACGGCGCAGACUGCUACGGGACGCAGCAGUGGGGAGUCUUGCAGAGUGGGCGGGCGCCUGAUGCAGCAACGCCGCGUGCGGGAUGACGGCCUACGGGGUGAGAACCGCUGUCGCCUGUGACGAAGCGUGCGUGACGGUAACGGGUAAAGAAGCAACGGCUAACUACGUG
rnacentral:rRNA from 1 species